AAUCAAUGAACUUGUAAAGUAUAUAUUUUGAAAAUAUAAUAAAGAGGAUUCUACCCUCUAUUGAUUU
rnacentral:tRNA from 1 species